UUACUCAGUAUUUAUUGUUUACACCUCUGCUUCAUAGUCAACAAAGUAGUCUUGACAUAAAAAAUGUUUAUGUUUAUGCAAUGUAAAGGAAUACAGGUGCUUGCUUUGUUGCAUAAAUGCACAUUGUAAAAUAUAAUGGAAACAUUCACAGUCAUAAGUAAACCACAGUAGUCAACCAAGGCGUUGUUGUCUUCUGUUACUUAAAAUACUUCAAUAUGCCAUUUUGACAAAUACUGUCAUCUUUAAACUAAAUCUGAAAGAAUGGAUUGCACAGCAAAGUUGCCACUUAUAUUUGUUAAAAAUAUUCACUAUCAUAAGCCCAGAAUGAAUUUUUGCUGAUAAACACCUGCCCAUUUUCUCAUCUAUAUACCGAAAUUUGUCAGCUACCGACAGAAAAAAAAGAAAACAUCCAAUUUACAAAUUAUCUCUACAGUUCCAGUUUUAUCAUAUGUGAAGUAAGCUUAAAUAAUCUUUUACUUCUAAUGUAAAAUAUGUGUCAUAUCCAUGUCUAUCACUGCUGGGAGUAUUUUGUUGGUGCUUUUGAGAACAGUAUUUGACAAAUGUUCUUAGCAAAGGUACUCAGCUCUCACAACCACUACGCUAACUGUAGGUGCUGCUAUAUAAGGAAUAUCUCAGAAGGAUAUGGAUCCUACCCAGCUUAGUGGUACUGCUGGCUAUUACUUUGGAUAUUUCUAAAUUCUCACUUAUACCUUAGGUAUUAGGGUUACUAAGCAUGAGUGUGUUAUAAUAUGUAAAAUACACGUGCAAUAUACAAAAAAAGUACAAACACUCUGAUUACGCAUUUAAAGGGAAGCUGUUCUCAAUACCAAUAUGAUCAUCUGUUUAAUGACAAAAUACUUUUAUUCAGUACUUUAACUUAUUUUAUUUACUCUUUGGAAAGCCAAGUUUCCAAAACAUGGGGGAUGCACAUUCUACUCACAUGACACUGUAGGGUCACACUGUUUAUAUGCACAUCACAAUGAAGUGAGUAUAUAAAUACCAAAGUUUCACUUUAACUAGAGGAAGAAGAAUUUAACCUACGUCAAAAUUCUUGACAUUUCAAAAAUUAAGUAAAAUGUAUUAAAACAAAUGAAAAUGUUUCUCUUUUCUAUAUAAACACUAACUUAUGUAACUAGUACAAAAGAAAUCUUUAUGUACAUGUCACCCUAUGAAUGAAAUAUGGCAGAAGUCAUAUAUGGAGAUAUGAGAGGGAUUACAACAUCACAAUUCAACAAACAUAAUGAAUAAGUAAUGGAGUAAUCAUCUGUUCAAUUAAUACUGUUAUCCCGGAUGACUCCAUGCCCACUAUAAAGGGCAUUGCACAUUUCAGGAAAUGUGUUAUUUGUUGGGUUAUAAUUAAAUGAGAUUAGAAAAUGGGCAAAGCAUACAUCUUCACACUGAUUGUAGAAAGAAUGUUUUCCAACAAAGUGUUAAUGUACAGGUAAUGCCCAGUAAAAAAAAAAAAAAAAAAAAAAAAACAGAUCUGUGACUUCACAGCAGCAUAUUAAGGUUUUGUAAAACAUGGACAGAAAAAAAAAGCAGAGAUACUAGUUUGUUUUACACUUGCUAAACGCGGCUUUGGUGUUUGGUGAAUGCAAAAAUAAAAAAUGUAAAUAAAGGGAAAAGUGAGUGUGUGGGUGUGUGUGUAUCUGCAUGUGAUAAACAGAGAGAUUCAGAGCAUGUGCAAGAAAGAAAGAGAGAGAGAGAGAAAGAUAGAGUACAUACCAACUUCUUUGGAUUGCAACAGGCAGUCCAUCACCAUGCAUUUCCUAAAUAAGAACACACAUGGAGCUCUAAUGUCUGGCAUUAUUGACUGACUUUAAUCCCUGCUAUCACUGUUCUUCCUGGAUACGUCUCAGUAAGUUUCAGUUUACUACUCCAAUAGCUCUUGGAAUUCAGUUAUUUUCCAUAGUUAAAUAACUAUUAAUAACAAGUAUAGGUUCCUUCCGUUGAGUGGGUAUGGUUGAACACAAGCAGUCAACAACUCCAGCAUCAUCAGCAGCAACUACUUUCUGUUCUGAAGUCAACAUGGACAGAAAGAGCAAGGACAAAUGUAACCUUAAAUACUAAAAUGCAGACAAGACCAACACAAUAAAAACACCUAAACAAGCUUUAACAUGUGAUGUUUCACCUUGUAAAUUCCCAAUAUAAGGAGGCACACCUUUGAACUUACAACUCCACAGUUACGCAACAGUGAUAAAAGUGAAUAUUAAUACAACAAACCACAACAAAAUCGUACUAAAAAUCCCUACAACAAACAUUUCCGAUAAAUGAUUUCAAUGGGAGAUGGAUCACUAUUAAAUUAUUGGAAGCUCAGAUGAGCAAACAAUGGACAGUCUAGCUGGGAAGGUUGAAAACCCAGCAGAU